GCAAUUUCAUAAGUGUCAAGUGUAGCAUCUGGUUGCUCCUCAUUACACACCACAGAUCAACAAAUAUUCUUUACAUCAACAACAUAGAUGUUGGUGAUGCCAGGUUUUAACUUCUCGUUGCCACUCUCAGGUGGAAGAUGUGCUGCCUCCGGUGUUCUCUGUCACGCCUAAGGGCAGUGGGGCAGGGUACGGAGUGGGCUUUGACCUGGAUGACCUCUUCAACCAGUCUCUCACUGACCUCCAGCACGCAGACCUCAGAGACAGUUACAAUGACUCAGGCCCCCUCUCAGCCUCCCUGCUCUCUGAUUGGCUGGAGGUGCACCGCAUGACUCCGGCUGACCUGGAAUCGCUACAGCAGGAACUACAGCUAGGAUCUCCCAUGAUCCUCUCUGACUCCAUCCCCUCUGACACCUGACUCCCUCCUUCUGGAAUAACAACCAAGACACUGGAGGUAGAAAUAGCCCCUUACCAGACAUCAGGUUGCAUUGUCUGCAUCCAAGUGCAUUCCACACACAGUGCACUACUGGGAGUAGGUAAAUUGCCCCUAAAUACUACACAAAUAGCCUAGUCCCAGAUAUGGGACUGCUAUACAGGGUAUUUCAUCCCCUAAUGGUACCUUUAGUCCCUAUGUAGUGCACUACAUUUGACCGGGCCCAUAGGGCUCUGGUCAACACUAGACCCUUGUGUCCCUACAUUUAGAAGUUUCCUAGAAAGGAGGAGUCUGAGCCCUGGAUAAUACGCUUUGUAAUAGACACUCUAAGGAUCAUCUAUUUAUUUGUUUUUCUAGCAUUUCCUCAUGCAGUGUUCAUGGUUCUUUUAAUAAAGAUCAUUGGGUCAUAA